rnacentral:rRNA from 1 species
GAGCGUUGUCCGGAUUUAUUGGGCGUAAAGAGCUCGUAGGCGGCUUGGCAAGUCGGGUGUGAAACCUCCAGGCUCAACCUGGAGACGCCACUCGAUACUGCUAUGGCUAGAGUCCGGUAGGGGACCACGGAAUUCCUGGUGUAGCGGUGAAAUGCGCAGAUAUCAGGAAGAACACCCGUGGCGAAGGCGGCUCUCUGGGACGGUACUGACGCUGAGACGCGAAAGCGUGGGGAGCGAACAGG